ACAGGUUUCCGCUAAGCGCUAGUUGCAUUGGGCGGCAGAACAGGAAACCUAACAAGGGAUCGUCCAGCUCCAGCUCUUAUUCAGUGCUUUGGAAUUUUUUUUUUUGAAAUAUUAGACGUUGAUUGCAAGAUUUGAUAUUUAUUCUUAGUUCAAAUUUCCUUAGUUUGCAACUAUGGAGGAGGAGUCAAAUUCAUCGCGGCGAAUGUCCACCCGAACACGUAAGGUUGCUUCAAAAAUGGCUGCAGCGCUCGGGAGCAGCGACAAUCGAACACAGGCGGCAAUUGCUCGCCUUGAAGCCUUGGAGAAUGACAACGCGGUGAUGGAGGCAGUAGAUGUCAAUGAUGAUGACGAGGCAUCACUAGACGAGGAUGAUCAAGGAUAUUUGCAAAAGAGGCACGCCAAGGGCACAAUGCGUAAAACCAGGCAGGCGAAAGCACUCGAGGCUAGGAAGGCCCCGAGAUCUUUUCUUGAGCUUUUGCAUGAGGCUAACCUGGAGUCUCUACCCCCACAUGUUCCAUCUUAUAUAAGGGCAGCUGUGGGACCUCCAAGUUCUACCUCCCGCCGCUAUUUCUGCACCGUUUGUGGAUAUGCCGCAAGCUAUACUUGUGUGACAUGUGGGAUGCGCUUCUGUUGUAUCCGUUGCCAGAUUGUACAUAAUGACACUCGUUGUCUGAAAUUUGUUGCCUAAUUGAUGCUUAGACAUUCAGAAGAAAAAAUGAGUAGUACAGGGGGACUGUUUCGUGCAAAAGAAAACAAAGUUAUAAAACCAGCGUCCAAGCUUCCAGACUAGCUGCAUUAAUAUAAGAGGGAUUACAAUUUUAUCCUGUCCUGCAGAAGUUGAAGAUCAACUAAUUUCGGCUCUCCAGUCGCUUGGCUUGUGAGCCACGUCAUUGAUGAUCUUAACAGCGAGGCAGAUUGAGUGGUGGAGGCUGCACGGUCUGCAGUUUCCCAACUCCAUUCUCAACUAGAAAAGCCAUAGCCAAACCCCAGCCAAGAUGGGCAUCUAUAUGACAGUGCAUUAGCCACACACCUGUU